AACAGAGUAGAAAAUAAAGCGUUAAGUGCUGAGAGGAUGGGAUGUUGCCUCUUUGACGAAGAACUGGUUGUUCGCGGUUUUAUUUUCGCAUUCGCUGCA
rfam:Enterococcus villorum ATCC 700913 genomic scaffold acvIF-supercont1.4, whole genome shotgun sequence.